rnacentral:lncRNA from 10 species
GCGAAGGUCUGCAGCUUCACUCCUAAAGCCAGAGAGACCACAAACCCACCGGGAGGAACGAACAACUCCAGACGCGCGGCCUUAAGAGCUGUAACACUCACCGCGAAAGUCUGCAGCUUCACUCCUAAAGCCAGCGAGACCACGAACCCACCAGGAGGAACGAACAAUUCCAGAUGCGCCGCCUUAGGAGCUGUAACACUCACCGCGAAGAUCUGCAGCUUCACUCCUGAGCCGGCGAGACCACGAACCCCACCAGAAGGAAGAAACUCCGGACACGCCGCCUUUAAGAACUAUAACACUCACGGCGAGGGUCCACGGCUUCAUUCUUGAAGUCAGUGAAACCAAGAACCCACCAAUUCCGGACACAGCAGGAUCCCACCCACAGAACCGCCAGGUGCACAGCUGCAUAUCCUCAGGGGAAAACUCCCCUCCCCUGCCACCUUACUGAUAGGCUUCACUUCCCAGAGAACUUUCCCAAUCCUGUGCAAUGCCUGAGUGGUACAUUGUAUUCUAUGAGAAUGGCGCCCCCGCCUCCAGAGUUGUGCAACAAGACUUCCAUGAAUCAAAGCCCAUCGCUGGCUGCCUCCUCUAGCCCUGCAUAGCCCAGGUACAUCUGAAAGGAGUGAGAAGUGUUUUGAGGGCUCUCCCUGUCUCUUCCUGCACCUCUCUCUUGUGAUCCCAGGAGCUACAACCUCAGCCCAGAUUAGCAGGCUGAGGGGUCAGGAGGCUGUCACUGGAGCUGUUGAGCUCAUGAACACGCCGAAGUUGCUGCGCUCCAGAAAUGUGGAAGUUGGAAUGAAGAGCCACCACUGCUGCCACCAACAUGAAGCUUGACCAAGCAAGCCAAGAAAAGAUGGCCAAGAGCCUCUGCCUUCCUUCUGCCUUCUGCAACGCAAUGGUGAGCUGCACAUCCACAACUUGAAGGGAGUCUGGGAAAUGCAGAGUUAAACUUUCUAGCCUCUCUAAGCUUUCAACUGUUACAGAAAGGCAACCCAGGAGGAGACUGGAAUAAAUGCUGAGUGCCAAUUUCCAAC